rnacentral:misc_RNA from 1 species
GAAAUGCGAUAAGUAAUGUGAAUUGCAGAAUUCAGUGAAUCAUCGAAUCUUUGAACGCACAUCGCGCCCUUUGGCAUUCCGAGGGGCAUGCCUGUUCGAGCGUCAUUACACCACUCAAGCCUGGCUUGGUAUUGGGCGAUGCGGCACCCGCACGCCUCGAUUUCGCCGGCUGGACGACCCGCAUCUCAGCGUUGUGAAUCAAUCUCGCUGCGGAGGGGGGCGACCCGGCCGUUAAAACCACACACAAGGUUGACCUCGGAUCAGGUAGGGAUACCCGCUGAACUUAA